UGCCAAGAGUAGUACAGUCUCGUGGCCAGA
rnacentral:piRNA from 1 species